GAUGAACGCUGGCGGCGUGCCUAAUACAUGCAAGUAGAACGCUGAAGCUUGGUGCUUGCACCGAGCGGAUGAGUUGCGAACGGGUGAGUAACGCGUAGAUAACCUGCCUCUUAGCGGGGGAUAACUAUUGGAAACGAUAACUAAUACCGCAUAAAAGACGAUAUCGCAUGAUAUUGAUUUGAAAGGUGCAAAUGCAUCACUAAGAGAUGGACCUGCGUUGUAUUAGCUAGUUGGUGAGGUAACGGCUCACCAAGGCAACGAUACAUAGCCGACCUGAGAGGGUGAUCGGCCACACUGGGACUGAGACACGGCCCAGACUCCUACGGGAGGCAGCAGUAGGGAAUCUUCGGCAAUGGGGGCAACCCUGACCGAGCAACGCCGCGUGAGUGAAGAAGGUUUUCGGAUCGUAAAGCUCUGUUGUAAGAGAAGAACGAGUGUGAGAGUGGAAAGUUCACACUGUGACGGUAACUACCA
rnacentral:rRNA from 1 species